rnacentral:sRNA from 1 species
UCGACCUCAACCGGAUAUGGACGCAUGG